GGUACAAUAGCUGUUACAGGGACAAACAUCUAGCUCAAUGGAAAUUCCAAAAAAUUAUCUGAAUUGCACCAUAAGCUGGACUGCAGCUACAAUGACCUGAAUGCCAAAGUGGAGGCAUUGAAUACCAAAGUCAGAUAGUUGGAAGGCCAAUCAGCAUCUACCUCUGCACCUAAAGUAACAGGACUUCCUGGGAAGUCAAUACAGAAUCCAAAGGAGUAUGCAACUGCUCACGCCAUCACCAUCUGCCAGGACCGAGAGCUGCCAACUCGACCUGUCCCUGAUUUCAUCACUAGGGACAGUGAUGUUCAAGAAGGGGAGGCUUCUACUCAGGUUGAAGUCUCUGUUGUUGAAUUCAACCAUUCUGCUGGUUCUGGCCAUCUCAUUCAAUCCACCUCGGAAGAAAAGGCCGCCAUAAUCGAGAGAAUGGUAAAACAAUUCAAACCUACUCCACUACCCUCACGUGCUCUUCCAUGGACAUUCAGGAAAGCGUGGAUGGAGAGAUACAAGUCAGUUGCAGCGAAGCAACUGGACGAGAUUGAAGCAGUGAUGCCACUAAUGGAAGUUCUUAACCUGAUUGUCUGUGCGAUCUCGGAGCCUCUCUAUAGUUCAUUUUCCUCUUGAUAAGUGUGAGGAGUCAAGCUAGAGGCUUUAAACAAGCUCACUUGGGAGGAAGUCCCAUGACUAUCUCUGUAAAUAAAAAAUUUCUUUUCUUGUUAUUUUUGAUUUGUCUUAGUUGUGUUUGUAGUUCUCAGGAACAAGGGAGCAACGUGGAGAUAGAGUAGAAAAACUUUUAAAUCAUCAUUUUACUCGACCAACAGAAGCUACAGAGUCUUACAAGGAGUUUAUCUAGUUUACAAUAGAUUUCCUGCAGUUUUCCCAGUCAACAGAGUGUGGACCACGCACUGAGGAUAAGAUAGAGAGAGAAUCUCAAACUCAAUCUCAGCCAUUCCUUUCACUCGACCUUACUCUCUCCUGUUUUCCACCACUCGAUCAAAACAACCAACUCGACCUCAUAAGGCCUAGCCGUACUCGACCUCCGCCGCCUCCACAGAGUUCAACGAUUCACUCGACCAUCAGAACUACUCGACCUCCAAGGACCACUCGACCUCGGCGCCACCGUCACCAGUUCAUUUCCUCUUUCACUCGACCGGACCUCUUCACUUGAUUCCGUUGCAGUACUCGACCAAUUCAUCCACAUCAACCGCCGUCUCUUCUAAAAGAAGUUACUCGACUUCUUUUCCCGGUCUCGUAUCUCACUCGACCUCGGAGAAACACUCGACCUCUGCGCCGCCGCAAUCGAAUACUCCGCCUCGCUCACCGUCGAAGUCUUAGGGUCUACUCGAUUACAACAAAAGAACCCGACCACAAGCAUUCGCUCGACCUCCAGUAUUCACUCGACCCCUGCAACCAUCUACUCGACCUCUAGGCUUCACCGGCUGAACUCAACCUCCACGACUCACUCGACCUCCUGAAGCAUUCCAACUCGAAUUCGUAGAAGAUACUCGAUCCAAUUCGUUUAAGGGAAACUCAAGAACAGCUCAGUCUACUCGAGUACAGAAUUGUACUCGAUCAAUAGGGUCUAUUUCACUGCAUAUUGAUAACAAUUUUGGUUUCAUUGCUAUCUUUGAGACUAACCUAUUGACAUUUGUGUUUUGAGUUCUAAAUUUCUUCAGGGGAAUCAUGAGCAAUUACAGUGGCAGUUCUUCUGUUGAUUCUGACUACAACAUGGAUGAGACAGAAUCGUCAUCUUCAAGGCCUGAGAGAGAACAAAGAGAAUAUGAAAGCUUCAGAAGAAAAGCUGAGAUAGCCCGAGGGAAGAGAGCGAUGACAGAGAGGUAUGAGCUUAUAGACAAAGAUCUGGAAGACGAGUACAUGCCUGAGCAUACUCGCAGAGCUACCAAACUUUUGCACAAGCCUGACGUAUUGCCUGCUGAGGAAUAUAUUAGGCUCUUCAAGCUGAAUGAGUUCUGUAGCACGAGGUAUUCUUGCUCGACCACACUUUCACAUCUCGGAUUGUUGGAGGAUGUUCAGCACCUGUACCAUAGUUGUCAUCUGGACACUCUGAUGGCUUAUCCGUAUGUAGCUUAUGAAGAUGAGACAAUUCAGUUCCUCUCCACGCUGCAAGUGGAGCUCUACCAAGGUAUGACCUCUGAUGAGUUGGAUUGUGAAGGAUUGGGAUUCUUGAGAUUCUCUGUGUAUGGUCAUGAGUAUAGGUUAUCAAUCAAGCGCUUGGAAGGAUUGUUUGGUUUCCCAGUGGAACGGGAACUAAGCCCAAGUAUGACAGAGAAGAGUUGAAAGACUUGUGGAUCACCAUUGGCAGCUCUGUACCGCUGAAUUCUUCCAUGUCAAAGAGCAAUCAGAUACGCAGCCCUGUCAUCAGGUACUUCCAGCGUUCCAUAGCCAAUGUACUCUACUCCCGAGAGAUCACAGGGACUGUUACUAACUUUGAUAUGGAGAUGAUCGCAAUGGCUCUUAAGGGAACUCUGCGCCAAACUAAGAAUGGCAUGUCUCUCCAAGGUGAAAUCAAUGACACACCUCUCUCUGUACUUCUCCUGAUCCAUCUGUGUGGAUACAAGAGCUGGGCUGUCAGCAAUAACCACAAGAGAGCACGAGGCGCUCUAUGCAUAGGUGCUGUUGUGACACCGAUUCUGAUCGCUUGUGGAGUCCCAAUCACUUCUGAUGGACUCGAGCUGCGAGCAAUGGAUAUCGAGCAGCUACGUCACUUCGAAUUCUUGGAGUUUGCAAUGGUUGACGACUUGCACAGGUUCAGGUUUGAGCACUCUACAGACAGGAGAGCUAGCAUCCUUCUCCCUAGCCCUGAGGUUACAUUGAUUUUCGGCUUGAGGUUGGACGCCUCUACUAUGAGAACGCUCUGCCAUUGGAUGAGGAUGAUCUUCUAGAAGAAGCUGCGUUGGAUGGGAUGGAUGAAGACAGAGCAGUGGAGUUCGACACUAGCAUGUAUCACUUUGGUGAACAUGUACCCCCAACGAGGGAGAGCAAGAGCUUGAGUGAAGCUCAUAAGAACAACAGUAAACUGCAGAAGUGGUGCAAGAAGCAGGACAAGCUGCUCGCCAAGUGUUUCAAGACUAUCAAGUUUCUAACAGAUAAGUUGAGUUGUUCCUCCUCCACCACUGCUAUUCCACAGGGACAACCUCCUAUGGAGAUGCCAUCGAGGAGAUUUGAUGAGCCUUAGCACAUGCCUGAGCUUAGCGAGCAGAGAGUUUCACAUGUUCCGGCUAGGCAUUCGUCAUUCGAGUCCCGAGAGCACAAGAGAAGAAGGAAGGCUACACUCACUCAAUCUAGCAGCAGAUCACGCCUCAUUCACUCGAGGAGAUAACUCGACCGCGGUGCUGGCCACAACAAAAGAAGGGAGGUUGAGUAUUCAUAGAGCGGUGCUUGCCGCCACAUAGCUGAUGAGGUCGAGUACCCACCUGCUGGAGCUGAUACAGAACAAGGCGGUUCGUCUAUGGCCUGGGAGCAAUCACAGGCAGCCAUUGACGACCAACUACGUUCAUUCUUCGACUGAGGUAAGCGCCUCACUUCACCAUUGUAAUAUAUCAUCCGUUGUGAUUUGUUUCUUCAUUUUGUUUUUGUGAUUGGAUUUGUCCCGAGUACUGUCUUCCAAGUUUAGUCACACAGUGGACUGUGUGAUUUAAGUUUGGGGGAGGGCUCAGGAAGUGUGUGUUGCAUUGUAUAUAUUCUUGAGUCUGCAUUCAUCUAAGGCAUAGAAAAACCAAAAAAAUUUGAAAAAUUUCAGAAAAUGAU
rnacentral:sRNA from 1 species